rnacentral:tRNA from 1 species
GAGGGUAUAGCUCAGUGGUAGAGAGUGUGCUUAGCAUGCAUGAGGUUCUGGGUUCAAUCCCCACUACCUCCA